UUAAUUUCGUUUCAUCUUAUGUAAAUAUUCCGAGGAAUACUUUUUGGAUGAGUUUCAAUCAGAAUGGUUGGUGUGAUCACACUUGAAACAAGUGGAUUAGAAAUGGUCCCGAGAUUUCGCAAAUAAAUGCGACAUUUCGGGGUUGGAUCAUUCUCCGAAGAAAAAGACCCAUAAUAAUGAAAGUUCCACGUAACCGAAUACAUAUCCAGUUUUACCCGGACAUGAAUUCUUAGAAUUAAGGUGUGGUAAUGAUCCUUCCGCAGGUUCACCUACGGAAA
rnacentral:misc_RNA from 1 species